rnacentral:sRNA from 1 species
GAGUUUGAGACCAGCCUGGGCAACAGGGCAAAACCCCAUCUCUACAAAACUGCACCCAGCCAUUUUAUAUUCUUUUUAUCUCAUUGCUUUUUUUUUUAGUGGUUUCAGACAGUGGUUCAGACCAGCUGCUAGAGAAUCAAGGGCUAAGAAGAGAAGACUACCAAUUUAGUAGAUUUGGACAUGGACAAGCCACAGGCAGUUUCUCUUCUCACUCUCUUGGCCAGUCAUCUCUUGCUCACCUUCCCCUGCCAGUAGCCAGUAGCAUGUGACAGCCUCUAUAUUCCAUCUCCCUUUUCUCCCUCUUCCAGAACUAAGAUGAGUUUUCAAUGGAUAACUGUUUAGAAACAUACCCACUGCUGAGUUUAUAAUAAAUAGGUAAAUGGUGUUUAAAAUGCCUUAUGUAGGAAUCCUUGGUAGAUAGUUAUAUGUGGUUAUUUUUUGGGAAGUUGGCUUGAGGUUCUUUGAAGGGCUGGGAACAUGUGUUUCUUUUGUGUGUUCCUGUGUGUGUCAAAGUUUUAUAUGUUCAUUGGUGCUCUACACGUUCAGAGAAACGUUUCCAAUAAUGAACCAUAGAAUGAUCCCUGGAGCAUAGGAUCCCACUGUUUGAAAAUUCUAGCCAUCGAUCACUUUAUAAGAAAAGGAUGAAAUUUCAAACAAGGGGUUUGUUUAUCUGAUUUCCACCCUACAGAUAAUAUAUAAAUUUGGCCAAAGUUGUUUGGGGGAGAGGGGCUGUUGUUAGGUACUGAGCUAUAAUACUUUGUUGCUUUGUAUCACUUUUAAAAGUGACUUUUAAAGAUACUUGACAUUUGAAAAGGAAUCACCUUUGAUCUUUCUAAGUCCCUAAUUUGACAUUACCUUUAUAGCAUAUAAUUUAUUCCGUAAAGUCUUAGAUCCUGAAACUAGCAGAAAGCCAAAUACUCAUGUUGUGCUAUAAAUAUAGGAUUGACAGUUAAGCUUACUCAGUAGUCAAGGGGGCAGCUUUCACUCACCAGCCUCCAGGGCAUAUGAACCAAAUUUAUGAUUCAGAACAUUUAAAAUAUACAUUUUGAAGGUCUUUGGGCUCUCUUACGUAUAGUCUAACUAUAAUAAAUAUUAAAUGUGUCAAAAGUCUCUUGCAGUGAUGGGAAGAGCAUUCUAAACCACAUACAUCUUUCCCAUCCCGAUUGUUCUGUGCCCCUCCCACUCUUCCCAGAUGAGAAGUCACCAUGGAGCACUGUUACUAAUGGGACUGUGUAUCAGAUCUUUAAAGUAUAUUGGGACAGAAGAAAGGUUGAUAUUUUGGGGUUGUUUUUUUUUUUUUUGAGACGGAGUUUUCACUCUUCUUGCUAAGGCUGGAGUGCUAUGGCGCGAUCUUGGCUCACUACAAUCUCCGCCUCCCUGGUUCAAGCGAUUCUCCUGCGUCAGCCUCCUGAGUAGCUGGGAUUACACGCGCCCGCCACCAUGCCCGGCUAAUUUUUGUAUUUUUAGUAGAGACGGGGGUUUCAUCAUGUUGGCUAGGCUGGUCUCGAACUCCUGACCUCAGGUGAUCUGCCCGUCUUGGCCUCCCAAAGUGUUGGGAUUACAGGCGUGAGCCACCAUGCCCGGCAGGUUCAUAUUUUUAAUGUUUCCUUCUACUCCCGAAGCACACACAAAUUUGAAAGCUGCUUUGCUUUCUAAUAAAGAGGCUUUUCCUUUGAUUUGGAAGAUAAUUUGAUGUGUCUUUUCUCUUUGCAGGUAUAUGAGCUCCCUGAAAGCACAAAGCAGUUAUUUCAAUCUUCAGAUCAUUCAGAGAUUAUGAAGGCACAAACCCUGCCUUCAAUUUGCUUAUAGUCAAGUGGAGCAGACACAAGUCAAUGAUGGCAGUAUAGCCACUUAAGUAAUCUAAAAGAGGUGAGUCUGGCACUUAACCUUUCCUGGGAGGGGGAGGAAUAAGGCAGUGUUUCCAAGAGGUGAUUUUGGAGCUAUACAGGCAUUAGGUAGACAAGGAAGGGGAGGUCCAUUCUGGGUGCCUAGGACUCUGUGGCUGAUUUAUAAAUUCUAAAUGGUACAAAAAACAGUGUUGAGUAUCUUUUACCUUUCUCCAGAGUACUGUUCUUGCUUUUGGAUAGUGCUUCUUGUUUUUUCCUUCCCUCUCCCUGUCCCUGUCACCUUUAAAUUAAAUGAAUGUUUGGAAGGAAGUAGGAGGGUAAGAAUCUUUCUGGGUGGCAGAAUAAUAGAUGGGUCUACCAAGAGCAAUGUAUAUACCCAGUAAAGCCAUCUCUAAAACUGUGUUUCUGGAUUGUUACAGUGCAUAGUUGGGAAAUCUCAGUUUUGUUGGCUGUGUACUUUCCCAGUGAAUGGAUUACAUUCCUUUCUGUGAUCCAGUCUGUUUGAAUUUAAGGGCAUCUCUUAAAUUCCUUUCAAGCAAGAGACCUAACAUUUAGACUUAGGAAUGAGAGUAGGAGAGACAGCAAGAUUAGAAUCCAAGUUCAUACUACCAAAACAUUUUUAUUGGCUGUGUUUGAGUGACUACAUGUUGUUUGAAUCAGCUGCAGGCUAAUUUGUAACAUUUCAAAUAAAUGAUAGUUUAAUUCCUCCAGUAUUUGAGUAAAGUGAAAAUAGAGCUAAAAACCAUGAUUCUGUCACAGUCUGGGAAAAUGAAAAAGCAAUCAAUUAGUGAGUUGGGCUUAAUUUUUUUUUUUUUCUGGAACUGGUAAUAGCAGAAAACAAGCAGUAAAGUAGUCAGACAUGAUAUACUUGACAAGAACCACCACCUGUUCAGUAGCAACUCUAAAAUAAGUACUAACUUAGGGGCAGUUGUUGUGCCCAGGUCAUAGUCAUACUCCUUCCAGGGGACUUCCUGAUGACAGAAAAGAUGCUGACCAGCUGGGGUCUUCUUUCCAAAUAACAAACUUCUCUCUUGCAUUUAGAUUAAUUAACCAUUGGUUACAGUGAAACAAGCAUAUAUGUACAGAGUUAAUCUCUUAUAGCUUGAAGUUAUAAAUGAUCUUUAUUUGAGUAUCUUGACAUUUUAAAGGACAGUGUUUUAAAGCUGGAUUUGGUUAUGUUCUUCUGGAGACUAAGAAAAUAGAGUCCUUGAAAUCAAGCUGACUCUGCUUUUAGCCUCCUAAAUGAAAAGGUAGAUAGAACAGGUCUUGUUUGCAAAAUAAAUUCAAGACCUACUUAUCUACCAACAGCAAUUAUACACUUUCCAUUGUCUUUCUAUAGAAAAUAGGAGUAGUACACUUAUAGAUGAGAAAACUGGAGAAAGACAUAAUGAACAUGUGAGAAUCUUGCUCUACUAAUUGAUAGGAAGGUGACUAGAAAUUGGAGAAGUUGUCUUGGUAAGUUGAGGAGAGGACUUUUCUUAUAGUGCAGUCUGGUAGCUGAACCUCCUUGCAUCAAGACCAAUAUAGUCUUAUUUAUAGAAUGCCACAUCACAGUGAAUUGUGCUGUGGACAGCUUCCAGUGUGUGACUUGUGGAAGAUGAUGAUUUUAACAGAUUUUGGAGGAUGAGAAGUAUUAAGAAAAAGGCCCCACUGCCCAUGCAUUUGCUCUGCUUUUUACUUUUGACCACUUAUACACUUCAGAAAUAUCUUAUUGGAGGUAUACAAGUGAUUGUGUGUCAUUUGAACCAGCAGGAAGUAAUUUAUUAAACACACUUUUCUAAAUAAAAGUCAUUUAAUUUUAUCAGAAAUCAGUGUCAUUUUAGAUUGCAAGUCUCAAACCAACUUUCCACUUCUGACUUGUAAGGGUGCCUUAAAUUCUGAAUACUCUGAAUUACUAAACCCAUGUUAGUUUACACCAAGAUUCUGUGGUGGUUUUACAUAUUCUUUUUCCCCUUUGUUAAGGUGGGGAGGCCACAGCUCAUGUGAAUGACUUUCUCAGGAGUUAUAAAGUGAUACAGGUAAAGCUAAGAAAAGAACAGAUUUAGAUAUCUUUUGUUUUAACUGUCCAAUGUUAGGGAUUGUGGCUACAGUGGUCUAAUUUUUAAAAACUCUUUUUUUGCUUUGUUUUUUAACAGACUUAUCAGCAGGUUGCAGGUGAACAUGGCCUUGAGGUAAAUCUGUCCCUUGCUGAAUACAGUUUCAGUAGAUUGUUUAUAGUAGUUUCAGGAAUUGAGAUUUUUUACAAAAAUACAAAAGUUUUGCUUGGUUCUGUUCUAGAUGUUUUUCUUCUAAAUAAAUGAGAAAGAUGUUUCAACAAAGGCUCUUUAUGCUGAAUAAUUGUGAUGCUUGAAGUUGCUAAUCUGCUUUAAGUGGAUUUUAAAUGUCAGACAAUUCUAGACAGUUUUUUCUUGGUCAAAUAAAAAUUUAAUUAAAACUUUAUA